AGCUAGACAAGGACUUGACUUAGAUUUUCCCAGCGGGUCACACAGCUAUUUGCUAAUCAGCAGUAGCAUAAACACUGCCAGGAUCCUUAUGGGUCACUUGCUAGGGACAGGCUAAACAAACCAUCACCAGAUGAAAAGCAGCAUGGGUGAGUGGAUGAGAUUUGAAACAACUAUACUGGAGUCCCGAGUCUGUGCCUGGAGGGGUUUCAGGACUUGUGCGAUGGAGAGGUAGUUAGCUGGGAGGCUUGGAGCUCAGCCUCCGUCCCCGCACAGAUGGGAGUGCACAUGGGAUGGACCCCGUGCCAGCACUGGGCUGUGGAGGUGUGCGACAGCUUCAUUCCAACAGCUGAUCUGGUUUCCCCCCGCGGUGUGUAUCUGUUUACCUGGAGAUAUGAGCCCUCCCUAGAAGCCCCAGCUCCGCUGCCCCCGCAGCGGGCAGCAGCUGCAGCCGUACAAACCCCACACAAGCAGCUCAGAGGGGGCCUGACCUCAGGUAAUGCUCCUGGUUCUCCAUCUACUGCUUCCGUCCAUGCCCUCCUCAGCUACGGCGCAGCUAGCUGCUGGGUUGAUCUGGCAUGGAGCCACCACGUUGUGCAGAAAGCGUGACAGCUGUGGGGACGGGGUGACCCGACUGACCCAUCCACUCUCCUGGUGAUGGGCAGGACGGAGGGUGCAGCCUGGGGCUGGGGGAGUGCAAGGCUUCUUGCUAAAGGAGCUGGAAAGGUGAGACACCAGCAAAGUUUGUGUUGUCCAUUCCAGCAUAACAUGAGCAAGACUUUUAUGAAAUCAAAGUUUAAAACCGUUAUUUGCACUUACUAAUCAGCAGGAUGAGGGGCUCUGGCUCCGUUAGCAAUGUUGCCUCACUCAGUCAGCAGCUGCUCCGCUUGGAGGCAGGCACGCAUGCCUGUAUUUCUUCCUGUGGGAUUCCUGGGGAGAAGUACUCACGGACCAAAAUGAGGAGGCUUGGCCCCAAACUGUCCACAGCAAGAGCUGUGUAACAGUGUAAUUAGGAUCUGUGUUCUCCAUGCAGCUAGCAUGCAAGUUUCCAAGGAGAUUUAGGAAUACUGAAAUCUCCAUGGCACAAUAAAAAUAAUUUUUUGCAGUACAGACUAGAGCAACAGCAUCUAUAUUUUAGACCAGGAUUUAUUUUUAAUAAUCCAGCUGCCAAAAGCAGUGGCAUGAUUCUUCCUCAAUUUUUGAAGACACUUUGCCAUCAAAUUAAGUCCAGCUUUUUUCAAAACAAAAAUGCUCACCAAGCUGUGGUGAUUACAGCUCAUAGCCAGAGAUGGAAGCUGAUGGCAACCGGAGCCAUGGCCCUCUCCAGCUCACGGGGAGCUGGAGUCAACCAGCUCAUCUGUGUUGGUUGGUACCGGGGGAUUCACGACCAGCACAGGCCAGUGGGGCUGGUGGGGUGCUGCAGGGCUCCUUGCUGGAAACAUCAAGGCCAGACAGGCCAGUGCUGGAGGGAUCGGCAACCAGCUCUUUAGGCUUCUGUCUCAUCCCUGCUCCCUCUCCCGCCACGCCAGGGCAGGAGCCCAGAGGAGGGAAGGGUGGAGAGAAGGUGGCAAAGGAUUUCUUGCAAUAGGGAGGUAGAAGGGAAGAGGGAUGCUCCCUGCAGGGUGACUCACUGGGUAUUGCUGGAAGAGAGACCUGUGGGUCCUGCCUGGAGCAAAGAGGGGAGAGGGCAUCAGCGCGAGGCCCCAGGGAGCCAGCCUUUCCCAGGGGCACCCUGCCUGACCAGGAGGGAACCAGACUUGGGGCAGGACAGGGCAGCAAAGCUCUGGCACUCUCCUCCCCCAGAGGCUGAGUCCUGUGGGCUGUCCUGCAGGCUCUCUGUGGGCAGGAGCAGGGCAGCAGGGCAGUGAGCGAGAAACCUGCCUUCCCAUCACCAAUCCCUGCUGCCAGCCCAGAAAGGAGGAAAUUCAGGAUUCAAAAGUCCAGAGAGAGAGGGAGUAAAGAUGAAAACCCCAGUGAAGAAAGGGCUCUCUGGUGAAGGGUAAGUCCUGCCUUUCCUCUCUUGCCUCUCCCUUUUUUUGGAAGGGGUAAGAUGCUGUUGCCAUUAGCCCCGGGGCAAUGUGCAGUGUGGCAGAAAGUGAAAAGCAGAACCAUGCGUGAAAUUGUCCUGGAGGGGAGGGGUGGCGGAGAUGGCAUUGCACUAUGAUGCCACCUGCCAUCACUUCAGGGUGACAGAGAUGACAAGAGGACAUGUGCUCCUGCCCAAACAGCAGUCAGCCUGACUGUGGGGUGAGCGGACAUGGCUGGGUCCAAAGGGCUCCUGCCUUGCCCCCCGCAAGCUUUGACAGCAGCACCUGUACUGUGUUUCUUACCAGUGGCUGACACAACCAAGCUGGCUGGGAAGAAAACCAGCUUCUGACUCCCAAAGCAAGCACCUUUGAUCUGGAAAAGUCAAAGGGAUGCUGCCAGCUUCCCAGGAUGUCAUUUGCAUGAGGAUGCUGUGAUGGUACCCGGCAAACCGGUAAAGGACUGAGCCUCUUGCAGGAAUUAACCCCCAUUACUCCCCAGGUUAGGUGCCACAGGGGCUGACCUGAUAAAGCAGGAGGUAAUGACGGCACUGCCCAAACAUAGCAUGGGAGAUGCUGAAGGGCUGACGUGUCUCUGCAGGAAUAGCUGUCACACAGGAGGACCUUUCUGGUGCCACAAGGUGACCCACUUUACCAGCAUCUGCUGAAAUGAGAGGAAAGGAUGCGGGGGGGUGCACGCAAGCACGUGUGUGUGUGAGAGGGGCACAGAGAGGAGGCAGACGACUGGGAUUCAGUCUCCACAGUGAUUUAUCUGGGUGGUAUCAGCAUUCGCUUCCUUUUCCCCCCAUGAAAGCAGGAUUGUGCUGCACUUGCCCAAGGGGUUGUCACCUUCUGGGUCAUAUAACUUCCUAAAUGGGACUGCUUGGAGCUGCCUGUCUGUCAUGAACCUGUCCCUCACCAAAACAGAUCUGGGAGCUGCUGCCACCCUAAUCGUUUAAUAUGAUGCUAUUAUCGAUGUAGGAACCAACGGAUUUUAUCAAACCUGUGUGCAGUGACUGACCAGCUCUGCACUGUGAUCCGGAGGAGCCAAAAAGGACUUCAUGGUGGUCACCCAUGUAAUAAUCCCUGUAAGAAAGAAUUUCCUCUCUUCUUCCUGCAGCAAGCUGCUUCAUACCUUGGUACCCAAGGAUCUGGGGUUUAUGUUUGUAUAUUACUGUUCAGGAUAUGUUAGUCAUAUCUUGAUUUUAUCUUUUUCUUUCUGCAGAAGUGCUGGGACUGCUGGUGAUGGGUGGAGGAGGAUCUUUUGGCUCUCUCUUCCAUGCUGACCACUUUCUGGCCUGGUUUUGCUGCAUUUCUUGUCACGUUACUUUACUCUGUAGCUCAGUGGUUUACAAAUGAGAGCAAACGCAGAAGCAAAAUGCCCCAAAAGUUCAGGCUUUUGGAGCUGAUCCCUAAGAACUUUCCCAGAAUAUUUGUGCUAUGAAAGAAAUACAGAUCAGUGAAAAGCUUGUAAGUGAAAGACUGUGGCUUCACACAGCCCUGUAAGCUCUGGACACCGGUGGCGGUGAGGUGGGGAAAGCAGUCCCAGUUACAUGCAGCAUUAGUUACACCUGGAAGCGGCUGCAGCGUGGGGUUUUAACACCGUAUCUGUUUUGCCUUCCAGUCCAUUUGCCAGCGCAGGGCUGAGGAAGGGGUGGUGGUGUUCUGCCAUGAGGUUGGGGGUGAAAAGCCCUUUACAUCAAGAAAGUAUCAAAGGGCAGAGAGCACUGAGCUCCCUGCACAAAGCAGUGAGCUGGCUGUCCCAGCCCUGCAGUGCAGCCCACUCUCUCCCUGUCUGCCAGGACUCUGCGAUCUGGAGUGAAGGCAGACCUCAGGUUUCCAGGCUGAAUCUACAAGGGCAACAUUGACCUAAUUAGUCUCUGAAACAAAUGGGAGAGAAAGACUUGGCACCGUAUGUUACAGUAAGAAAUCCUCUCCCUCUCCUUUCGCUCUCCUGGCCCCGGGGAUUCAUCCCGGGCAGGUGCUUCUUUGAUUGCAGCAGGUUUUGAAUCCUCUUCCCUCUCCUUGAGGGGAUGCCACAUGCUGUCUUCUGACCUCGUUAGCUUCUCCUCCUGUUCCACUUCCCUGUUCUGCACUCCCAGCCCCACCGAUGUGCUAAUUACUACAAAGCAAUCUGCAGGAACGCGUUCCUCCGAGCGGGGUGAGGGGAGCAGGGAGAGGAGGGAGAGAUGCUGUCAGAGCAUCGUGGGGGAUGGAGCAAAUCAGGUGAGCAGGGAGCCUGGUUAAGCAAUGCUGACGUUUGAGCUCACACCAGACUCUUUCCCUGACCAGGUCGGUGCCAAGUGUGGCACAUGGGUGUGCAAGAGGUGAGCUGGUCUCCCAUGGUGGGUCUGCAGAGCAGGCUGUGCUGCCUGCCCGCAGGGCCGGCUACCAUGGGAUCCCCACAUCACCACAGUAGCUUGCGUGGUCAUGGGACCUGGUGUGCCUCAGCUGCAUCCAGGGCACUGGUGUGCUGUGCAGAAAUAACACGAAUCUCCAAGGGUGAUCGUUGCCAGUUAACCAUCCCCACUCAGCUCCGGGCUCCUCUUGCACUGGUCCGUGCAGGCAGGUCUGCACGCCUGCCCACGGACAGGCCUCGUGAGAGGUCCCAUUGCCCUGGACAGGGUGGACACUGCCGGCUCUGUAGGAGAGCUGUGGAGCCACGGCCAGUGCGUUGCUGCUCCCACCGUCGGGCUGUGAUGGAAAGGCAAGGGGUUUGCUCCGAGGCUGCAUCCCUCGCAAUUGCAGGUAAUGGACUUUCAGCCUGCAGCCGACCUGUGCUCAAACAGGCAGAGCUCUCGGAGCACGGGCAGAGGUCCACACAGGGCUCCUCUCCUCCAGCACUGGUUGAAAAUGAGGAAGCUGGAGGGGUCUGAAGUUUGGGUUAAAUUUGUCUGGCUGAAAUGACAAGAUUUUCCUCUUCUUCCUUAAUCAGUGAGAGACAAUUGAAAAUAGAGAAGGGAAAAACAAUAAUUAAUGAAAGAGCCAGAUCCUGAACCCUUUGCCUUGCUGUAAGUCUGAAGACAGCCCAUUAAGGCUGCUGGGAUUUUAUUUUGAUUGAGCUGCUGUGAGUGAAAUUAAUGUUAGUUUCACUAAACUAAAAGCAAGACAAAGGAGAGAAAAGCCAGUCCCUCUAACUUUAGCUGAUUGCGAAAUCAGGGAGAGGGACAGUAGGGUGACUCUCAGGAGGGACAUUUUCCUUGUGAAGCCUGUUUGGGAGCGAGGGAAGCGAUAAGGUGCCACCUCACCCAAGUGCAAGACCAUACUGCCGUUGACGAAGAUGCCCUUGGGGUCUGGCCAUCCUGCACAUUCACACAACUUGCAUGGUCUCAGCCGACACUCCCCUUCUCCCUGCUUUCAGAUCAGGAUCCGGGUUAUAAGCAAGGCAUGAAGUGCGUGAAGAGACCCAAAGAGCUCAGCUGAGGGCUCACGUUUUCCUGGUGCUCCCUGGGUUUUAAUACUCAUGUUGUGUUUUGAGUGCACAAGCUCUUGGAUUAAUCCAUCCUCCCCUGCAGGUCCCCUCUGAAUGCAUCUGAUGGCGCAUGUUGAUGCGCAGACUCCUCAGACAUGGGGGUCUCUGUCUGGUUUUGGGAUGGACCCACCUUUUGGUGGCGUUUGAAGAAAGUGCCCUUUCUCUCUCCUAGUACUCAGUAUCUUUGUCUUUCAAAGCUUGCCAUUGUGAUCUCUCUUCCCUGUUGCUUCUAUUUUAAUUACGUGGUUAAUGGGCCCCCUGCCAGCCUCUACCUUUCUUAGACCUUUCUCCAUAUCACACGUUAUGUGAAAAGCAAAGGUUGCUCUAUCUGCUGGCACGUACAGAGCAGCUGGGGAGGUGCACGGAGACCCACAGCCAGCGGUGCUGGUGCUGGUGCUGAGCAGAGCUGAUCCAGGAAGCACAAGCCCCAGCUCUGGGACAUCCCUGCAGCCUGACCCAUCCCCCUGAAGAACAGCCAGGUAGAAACAACUUCUGGAGGGCUCAGUGGGUGCAAAAUGCACUUAAGUGGAAGGUGUAAAAAUGUCUCACUUUCUCGUGAUGUUUGAGGAGGAGGUGCUGCUGCAACACGGGUAUUUUUGGCGUGGUGUGGACUUCAUCUUCUUUCCUACCAGCUCGUAAUAACUCAGUUUUGAAGUCCACGCUGUUCUGUUCCUUUGUGGGUCUUACAGUUGCCCUGGCAGAGGAAGGGCAGUAUGAGAGCUGCCCAAAGGGGUUUUGUGCUCUCCACUCUAAGGUAGUGGUUCAGGGUGGGAUUGCACCGCCAGCGAUCAUCACCAGUCCAUCCCGCAGCAGGGACAGCACCUGUCUCUCUCCUUACAGGCUCUGGAAAGGACCCAAACACUAAACUACGUCAUCACUAGUUAGGUGGGACAAAUGCCACCUACACCUUAGCUUUUCUCCUACCAAAAUAUUUACCUAACAGGCAGCUCUGGAGUUCUUUGACAGAUAUUUUGGUAUUUGGAUGCACGUGAAUGGGAGAUGAGUCAGCUCUUCCUCCCCAGCCUGUUUGCAAAGGGCACAUCCAUAGCGUGAUGGAAUUGUGUGUUGACAAGUUGACGAUAAACCCCCCAGGCCUCUGCAAGAUGUGAUGCUUCUAAAUGCUUCUACAGCUCAGCCACACGCCAGAGCGAGGGCAGGAGGCUCGUGAGUAGGUACCUGACCGAGCGAACUAUCAAGUCUGAGUGGCAGAUACCUUCAGGGGGACAUUUGCACACUCUGCGAGAGAAAGGUCCACGUGGACAUGCUCUGUUAAAUUUCUUUAAUAAGAGUUCACAUGGUGCUGUGUGUUGGAUUUGUGACCAAAACAGUGUUGGUAACAGCCGAGCGCCUGCCUGCUGGUGGGGAGCGGUGAAUGAACGCCCGGCUUUGCCUUGCACGUGCAGCUUUAGCUUUACCUGUUAAGCUGUCUGCAUCGAAACCCAUGAGUUUUCACAUCUUUACCCUUUUGAUGCUCUGCCCCAUCGCACUGCAGGGUAAGCGAGUGGCUGGGGGCGCUCAGCUGCCUACGGGGACACGACAAAGUGGAUUUUCUGCUCCCUCGAAGGGGCGCUGGAUGUACUGACUCACAGUGCAGUGACUACAGGAUGCUGACAACGUCCUCCAAUUCCUAGGUGCACACAACUUCAUUUAAGCACAUCUAUUUUUCUUGUCUUCCCUUGUAGGUUUUUCUUUUCAAAUAUCCACUUGACCUUCCUUUUCUCUUCCUACCAUCCUGUUUCAAGGCACGAAUAAGUACCUUCGGGAGUAAGGCGCUCCCAAACUGGAGCCUGUCCCUGCCUUUUUGUCAUUUGUCCCAGACCUGUGUGCAGAACGGAGAAUGCUUACUUGCAAGACAGUGAUGGAAGGGCAUAAGGUCUGCUGAAAAAUUUAGGAUGUGAGCUACGACAUUAUUUGCAACUGGUGAAGCUCUGUCUCGUAAUUCCUGGAAAAUGGGAGCAAAUGUUAGCUUUAGAUCGCACAAUGCAUAGACACUGCAAAACACAAAGUUACAAUUUAUUUUGAAUGUUUUGCAGUGUCAUUUUUUCACCUGGUCUUCUUAAUUUACCAAGCUUUUCAGACUUCCAGAAUUUAGUUUUACAGAUUUACAUUUUUACAGAUUUGCAUUUAAUUUUACAGAUUUAAUUUUUCAAAUUUUAACACGUGGGAAUGUCCACAGAAGAUAGCUUUUCCUAGACUUUGAUGUUGAAAGGCUCUUAAAUUGGUUUCUCAUUAUUUUGGCAUUGCUUUGUAUUCACUGAUGCUUGCCCUGUCAUUGUUGUGCUUUUUUAAAGGAUAACAGAGGUGAGGAUUGUGGAGUUUGGUUUUCAGGGAGCAAUGUAGUUUUUCUUGUGCAUGUUCCACUUCAAACUCCUGGUCUUCCCAUUUCUUUUCACACAGGAAGCUUCUCAUGUCCAUUCUUAUCUCUGUGAGCAGUGGCAAUGACACUCCCUUGUCAGGGAUGCAGACCUGCUCAGUGAUGGUUCCAGAACACUGAGAUACACAGCAGCCAUGAACCCAUCUGUACUGUGGAGGUCUAUGAAUUAGCUGAAAAAUAAAGGUGGUGUGAAAUGUGACAAAACUCACAAUAAGGUGCAUUUAAAGGAA